CCCCAGUAACGGCGAGUGAAGCGGCAACAGCUCAGAUUUGGAAUCUGGCCCCCCCCGGGGGGUCCGAGUUGUAAUCUGGAGAGGAUGCUUCUGGCGCGGCGCCCGGCGAGUUCCCUGGAACGGGACGCCAGAGAGGGUGAGAGCCCCGUACGGCGGGACGCCGCGCCUCUGCGAAGCUCCUUCGACGAGUCGAGUAGUUUGGGAAUGCUGCUCCAAACGGGAGGUAAAUUUCUCCUAAAGCUAAAUACCGGCCGGAGACCGAUAGCGCACAAGUAGAGUGAUCGAAAGAUGAAAAGCACUUUGAAAAGAGGGUCAAACAGUACGUGAAAUUGUUGAAAGGGAAGCGCCCGUGGCCAGACUCGCGCCCCGCGGACCACCCGGCGGACUCCGCCGGGGCACGCCGCGGGGCGCGGGCCAGCAUCGGCCCCCGCAGGGGGACAAGGGCGGCGGGAACGUGGCUCCUCUGGGAGUGUUACAGCCCGCCGCGCCAUGCCCCUGGGGGGGCCGAGGACCGCGCUUCGGCAAGGAUGCUGGCGUAAUGGCCACCGGCGACCCGUCUUGAAACACGGACCAAGGAGUCAAGCAUUGGGGCGAGUGUCCGGGUGGCAAACCCGCACGCGCAAUGAAAGUGAACGUAGGUGGGAGCUUCGGCGCACCACCGACCGAUCCUGAUGUCCUCGGAUGGAUUUGAGUAAGAGCCCCACCGCUUGGACCCGAAAGAUGGUGAACUAUGCCUGAAUAGGGUGAAGCCAGAGGAAACUCUGGUGGAGGCUCGCAGCGGUUCUGACGUGCAAAUCGAUCGUCAAAUUUGGGCAUGGGGG
rnacentral:rRNA from 1 species